GACGAACCGUGCAAACGUUGUUCGGAUUCACUGGGCUUAAAGGGCGCGUAGGCGGGCGGUCAAGUCAAGGGUGAAAUCUUUCAGCUCAACUGGAAAAGUGCCUUUGAUACUGAUCGUCUUGAGGGAGGUAGGGGCAUGUGGAACUUCCGGUGGAGCGGUGAAAUGCGUAGAUAUCGGAAGGAACGCCGGUGGCGAAAGCGACGUGCUGGACCUCUUCUGACGCUGAGGCGCGAAAGCUAGGGGAGCAAACGGG
rnacentral:rRNA from 1 species